rnacentral:rRNA from 1 species
UACGUAGGUGGCAAGCGUUGUUCGGAAUUAUUGGGCGUAAAGGGCGCGUAGGCGGUUUGUUAAGUCGGCUGUGAAAGCCCCGGGCUCAACCUGGGAAUGGCAUUGGAAACUGGCGGGCUUGAGUGUGGCAGAGGGGGGUGGAAUUCCGCGUGUAGCAGUGAAAUGCGUAGAGAUGCGGAGGAACACCGAUGGCGAAGGCAGCCCCCUGGGCUGACACUGACGCUCAGGCACGAAAGCGUGGGGAGCAAACAGG